AUUGAACGCUGGCGGCAGGCCUAACACAUGCAAGUCGGGCGCGCGGCGGACGGGUGAGUCAUGUCUGGGGCUAUGCCUGAUGGAGGGGGAUACCUACUGGAAACUGUCGCUAAUACCGCAUACCAUCAGAUGACCCCAUAUGGGAUUAGCUGGUAGGUUUGGUAACGGCUCACCUAGGAGACGAUCCCUAGCUGGUCUGAGAGGAUGAUGAGCGACACUGGGACUGAGACACGGCCCAGACUCCUACGGGAGGCAGCAGUGGGGAAGAUUGCACAAUGGGAGCAAGCCUGAGGCAGCCAUGCAGCGUGUAUGAAGAAGGCCUUCGGGUUGUAAAGUACUUUCAGUCGGGAGGCGUUACCGACAGAAGAAGCACCGGCUAACUCCGUGCCAGCAGCCGCGGUAAUAC
rnacentral:rRNA from 1 species